UACGGAGGAUGCGAGCGUUAUCCGGAUUUAUUGGGUUUAAAGGGUGCGUAGGCGGACUGUCAAGUCAGCGGUAAAAUUGAGAGGCUCAGCCUCUUCCCGCCGUUGAAACUGGUGGUCUUGAGUGGAUGAGAAGUACGCGGAAUGCGUGGUGCAGCGGUGAAAUGCAUAGAUAUCACGCAGAACUCCGAUUGCGAAGGCAGCGUACCGGCAUCCAACUGACGCUGAGGCACGAAAGCGUGGGGAUCAAACAGG
rnacentral:rRNA from 1 species